rnacentral:rRNA from 2 species
CUGAACUUAAGCAUAUCAAUAAGCCGGAGGA